rnacentral:rRNA from 1 species
UACGUUCCCGGACCUUGCACACACCGCCCGUCAAGCCAUGGAAGCUGGGUGUACCUAAAGUCAGUAACCGCAAGGAGCUGCCUAGGGUAAAACUAGUACUGGGGCU